rnacentral:tRNA from 1 species
UCCCGACAAGCCGUCGGACGGCGUGGUCUCGCCCGCCGCCUGCCGGGUGUUCGGCUUCACCCUGCCGGAAG